UGCUAAUACCGGAUAACAACAGAUGAUGCCUAUCAACUGUUUAAAAGAUGGUUCUGCUAUCACUCUUGGAUGGACCUGCGGUGCAUUAGCUAGUUGGUAGGGUAACGGCCUACCAAGGCGAUGAUGCAUAGCCGAGUUGAGAGACUGAUCGGCCACAUUGGGACUGAGACACGGCCCAAACUCCUACGGGAGGCAGCAGUU
rnacentral:rRNA from 1 species